UUGCUAUCUGCGAUUUGAAAGAUUCGAACCUGCAGCAGGCUCGAGCCGAACGCAGUGAGGCACCGGAGCCGUUUACGGCGACGGCCCGAAGGGCGAGCAAAGCGAGUCAUCCUGCACGACCCACCA
rnacentral:sRNA from 1 species